rnacentral:rRNA from 1 species
CCUACGGGUGGCACCAGUGGAGAAUAUUGCACAAUGGGCGCAAGCCUGAUGCGGCCAUGCCGCGUGUAUGAAGAAGGCCUUCAGGUUGUAAAGUACUUUCAGCGGGGAGGAAGGUGUUGCGGUUAAUAACCACAGCAAUUGACGUUACCCGCAGAAGAAGCACCGGCUAACUCCGUGCCAGCAGCCGCGGUAAUACGGAGGGUGCAGGCGUUAAUCGGAAUUACUGGGCGUAAAGCGCACGCAGGCGGUCUGUCAAGUCGGAUGUGAAAUCCCCGGGCUCAACCUGGGAACUGCAUUCGAAACUGGCAGGCUAGAGUCUUGUAGAGGGGGGAAGAAUUCCAGGUGUAGCGGUGAAAUGCGUUGAGAUCUGGAGGAAUACCGGUGGCGAAGGCGGCCCCCUGGACAAAGACUGACGCUCAGGUGCGAAAGCGUGGGGAGCAAACAGGAUUAGAUACCCCAGUAGUC